rnacentral:rRNA from 1 species
CAGUAGCCGCGGGAAUACGGAGGGUGCGAGCGUUAAUCGGAAUUACUGGGCGUAAAGCGUGCGCGGGCGGUUGUGUAAGACAGGUGUGAAAUCCCCGGGCUUAACCUGGGAACUGCGCUUGUGACUGCACAGCUAGAGUACGGCAGAGGGGGGUGGAAUUCCACGUGUAGCAGUGAAAUGCGUAGAGAUGUGGAGGAACACCGAUGGCGAAGGCAGCCCCCUGGGCCAAUACUGACGCUCAUGCACGAAAGCGUGGGGGGCAAACAGGAUUAGAUACCCCUGUAGUCCCUGUCUCUUAUAC